GGCAACUGGCAUUACUCUACAACACUUGUGAUAGAACACCACGUGCUACCAGUUUUUAUUGUAAUUAAAUUUCAUCGUGUUAAUUACUCUACAUUAUCAAGUACAUCAUUCUUAUUGUAACUCGCUGAUUCACCAUGUAUUUGUUAUCAUCUAUAUUCUUCAAUUAUAUCUGUUUUUUCAUAUAUAAACUCUGUGCUCAUUGCUGUGGUGACCGCGUGUUAAACUAACGUGCGGGCUAUAUCUAUUCACAUACUCGCCAUCAUGUGACUUUGCAGCCACAAAUAAUUAUUCUUAAUUACAUUUACUUUCAUUACUCAUCGAUUAAUUAUUUACUUGGACAUGAUGUCAACUGGUGUGACUGAUGUCAUCAUUCAGUCAUCCAGUAAUCUUAAUCUCAAAAAUCAAUAUUUUUUUUUAUUUGUGACUGCAAAGUAAUUAUUAUACGUUCAGACUCGGCUCGUUACGCUUCUUAUAAUUUUGCUCUUCUUACUCGUACUCUGUGUCGCGAAUUAAAUUUAAUUGUGACUAAAAUGUAUACUCGAACUAUUGAUGAUAGUUGUAAAUCAUUAAUUGUUAAUCAUUUAUUCUUUAUUGCGCUCUUUUGUGUAAAUUAAUUCACGUGUAUGGUGCCGUGUAAAUUUAUAAACUCGUAUUCAUUAAACUCAACAAACUCGAUCUUCAACUACGCUCUAUAUGUAUAUAAUAUAAUGUUCACGUGUACGGUGCCAUGCAAUUUAUAUAAAACUCAAUUAAACUCAAAUGCAAUCGAAUAAUGUUCAAUAAGUGCUCUAAUAUAAACUCGUGAUCGACUCUUGUACUCUACGCUAUUAUCUGUGAUUUAUUUUUAUUAAAUAUGGACAAUACACCAAAUCAGUGACUUCUUAUUUCUUUCACCAUCCCGAUCCAGCAAAUAAAUAUUUAAUGUUGGUAUCGAGGUGAGAAGAGGUCCAUGAAAUUUGCAAUACCAAGGAUCUAGCAAGAACCAAAAGACCACGUCAAUGACUGCUAUUUUUGCAUCGUGAAUCCGAGUAAAAGACGUAGAGGUAAAAAUGCAAAACCUAUCGAAUAUCCUGACUUUGAAUCUUCUGCUCCAAUUGCACACGACUUGACACGACCAGUACCAGAGCCACCGAAAAAAUUAUCGCAGAAAAAUAGCUCAUCUCUUAGUUCUCAUAAAAGUAAUUCAGAUAAGGAGUUUUUACCUACAACAGAACAGCCAAAACACCAUUUUAUUACUACAGAAGAUUUUAACGACUUGAUAAGAGAUUUAAAUUUGCCAAAAAAUAAAGCAGAGCUUUUAGGAUCUCGUCUAAAACAGUGGAAUUUGCUUGAUGAUGUUAAUAUCACGGAUCAGCGGACUAGGCAUGAAACAUUCUCAACAUUUUUCACAAAAGAAGAUGGACUUUGUUUUUGUAAUAACAUAAAAGGUAUGUUCGAAGAAAUUGGCAUACCCUGUGUUCCUAGCGAAUGGCGUUUAUUCAUUGACAGCUCUAUAAAAAGCUUAAAAGCUGUUUUAUUAUACAACGGAAAUAAAUUAUCAUCUCUUCCAAUCGCUCACUUAGUACAUCUUAAAGAAAAUUAUGACAGUGUUAUAAUCUUGCUUUAAUCUGUAAAGUAUCGUGAGUAAAACUGGCAGCUUAUUGGAGAUUUAAAAAUGGUGAGAUUUUUAAUGGGACUACAGAGCGGAUAUACAAAGUAUCCGCGUUAUAUGUGCUUAUGGGAUAGCAGAGCGGAUGCUAAGCACUAUAUUCAAUGGUCAUGGCCUGUAAGAACAGAACUUUGUGUCAGAAAACAAAACGUAAAAUUUGAACCGAUUGUUGAAGCGAAAAAAGUGUUAAUGCCACCUCUGCACAUUAAGUUAGGGUUGAUGAAACAAUUUGUUAAAAAACUGGAUGAAACUUCAAAAGCUUUUGGAUACUUGAAAAAGUUUUUUCCGAAGUUAUCAGAUGCAAAAGUUAAAGCUGGGGUUUUUGUUGGUCCACAAAUUACACAGAUUUUCACCGAUGAAAAAUUUCCAACGUUGCUGAAUCGUACUCAAAAAGCGAGUUGGAACAGUUUUAAAGCAAUUGUUUCUGGAUUUUUAGGAAAUAACAAAGCUGAAAACUACGAAAAGUUAGUUGAGAAUAUGCUAAAAAAUUUUAAGGCCAUGGGCUACCGGAUGUCAUUGAAAGUACAUAUGCUACUUGCUCAUUUGGAUAAAUUUAAAAACAACAUGGGAGCAUAUUCAGAAGAGCAAAGAGAACGUUUUCAUCAGGACAUUAUGAGUUUCCAAUUGAAUUUUUCACUAUACUCACAGCUUUGUCGGAUAUUUUUAAUUGUUGGGAUUACAAGCAGGAUGUUGAAUUUGCAGGAACUGGAAUACGUGGCCUCGGGUUCAAGCUCGUUAUCAAUUGUAAGUGUCAAUCAAAACUAAUCCGAUCAGGUCCUUACAUCAAUACUGGAUUUGAGAUAAAUCGUAGGAUAGUGUUUGUCAUGCGACUCUUGGGGGUUGGCCAAGAAAAAUUAAAUUUAUUUUACAAUUACAUGGACAGCAGUAGCGGAAUAGUAGUAGUAGCAAUUUUUGUAGGAUCAUACCUCAAUCUAGCUAUUUCACGCAUGAUUUCCUUAUUCUUCGUUUCCAGUUGACUUAUAAGUUCACGUUGAGCAUGAGCAGCAUCUACAGAACUUAAAUUGAUGUCUGAAGAAGAUUUGCCUUGCUAUAGCAUAACAUAGAUAGAAGUUAUUAUUCUUAUGGAAUUAAAAUAAGUUAAAAAUUUAAUAUACUCAAGUGACAUCUUGUUGUGUGGCUAGGGAUACAACACAAUGAUUUCAGAUGAAGGUACUGUUAAUUGCCUAAGCUGAAGGCAAAGACUACAACUGUGUGAAGACUGAAUCGUUUAUUAUCCCUUGCCACACAUUAUAGUUUUUAUAGUAACCUGCAUAAAAAAUUCGAGCUACAAUGUCUAGAAGUAAUUCAAAUGAGAUAAUUAGAGAUCAGCUGUACAUGCUUAACAUAAUUCAACAGUCAACCUAGUAGACAGAAAUAAUACAUGGUUAUUUAGAGUUUCACGACGGAUCAUCGCAAUUCUAAUGGGACUAAAGAAAUUAGAAUCUAAUUCAACUAGCAGGAAUUAGGCUUCUUUUUUAUUAGGGUGGACGCUGAUCAGUUUCAACUUACUCAUUUAGACUUGUCUGAUGUUGGCUUGUUGUGAUCAAGCAUACAUUGAAACCACGAGUUUAAAUGCAGAUUCUUCAGUUGUAGACGCCUUAGAUGAAGUUCGCGGCUUUAACAAAAACGAUAAUAUAUUUGAAUUUCUUCAUAAAAAUAAAGAUAAGCAAAUCCACUAUUAAAUAAUUAAGGGCAUCAAAACUGUAACUUUGCCCGAAUUUUGAACAAAAGAUCUACGAAUUCGAAUUUCUCAAUAAAUAUCAGUGAUAACAUGAAAAAAUCCACAGUCUAAAUUUUUUUUUAACGAAUUGAAUUUUUUGUGAAUUUUCGGGAGCGUCAAAAUUGGAAAUUUUUGUACUUAGACCAAAAGACCUACAAUAUUGAAAUUUGAAAUAAAUAUUAACUAUGAUACUUGAAAAUUGAUAUUAAAAAUUUUUUCUUAGGAGAUGUGUUAUAUCCUGGCUAUCAAGCAGGGCCCGUUCUAAGCUUACUAGACUUAAUUACCGACCUAUAGUUUAUUCCCAAAAUAAGGUAUCCUAAUCACCAACAAUUAGAGGACCUUAAGUAGAUAAUUAUAAUAAUGUAAAUGUAUAUUAUAAAUGAUAAAAAUAUCUUUAACUAACAUAUAUUUUUUAAAUCAAUAAUCAAAUAAUAAACGAAUCACCGGAUGCACAUAAUCCCACGUAUGAGAACGUUUUUCAUUUUAAGCUUCAAGUAUAUUCAACUGAAGAUAAUUUAAUCAUUUUAAAACACAGCUGUAUAAAAUAUUAGUAAUAAUCUGUAACAAACGCAAAUGAUAUGAAAAUGGAAUUUGUCUUUCAAAUAAAUAACUUUUCUCAGAAAUUUACUUCAGCCGAGGAUUAAAUCCCUUCUCGCCCUCGACAAAUGGGUCUUAUGCCCAAUCACCUCGUGUUGAUAAACAAUGACGAGUUCAACGACCAAUGGGUGUGUACUUUGAUCAACAAUUUAAUCCCGCUUAAUAAUUCUCAUCCCACUAUUUUCGUGAUUAGAAUACUUUAUAAAAACCCACGUUUACAGAGCAGAACAGAUAGGUUUACGCUAGAUUUACCUUAGAUUUACUCGAAAUUUAAGCCCGAUUUUGACAUCCGAAAUUAUUAAAAUUAUCAAUUCCAUACCCAUACCUUUUGUAAGUUUGACUAUUGAACAUAUUAAAUUUAUAUCACAAGUGUAUACUUUCAACUUCUAAACUCUAUAAAUAUUAUUUUUAAUAAAGUUAUGGUUAUAAAUAAUAUCUAAGUAC